rnacentral:rRNA from 1 species
CCUACGGGUGGCAGCAGUGGGGAAUAUUGGGCAAUGGGCGCAAGCCUGACCCAGCAACGCCGCGUGAAGGAAGAAGGCUUUCGGGUUGUAAACUUCUUUUCUCAGGGACGCAGAAAGUGACGGUACCUGAGGAAUAAGCCACGGCUAACUACGUGCCAGCAGCCGCGGUAAUCCGUAGGUGGCAAGCGUUAUCCGGAUUUAUUGGGUGUAAAGGGCGUGUAGGCGGGAGCGCGAGUCAGAUGUGAAAACUCAGGGCUCAACCCUGGGCCUGCAUUUGAAACUGUGUUUCUUGAGUGAUGGAGAGGCAAGCGGAAUUCGGGGUGUAGCGGUGAAAUGCGUAGAUAUCACGCAGAACUCCGAUUGCGAAGGCAGCAUGCCGGCUUUCGACUGACGCUGAAGCACGAAAGCGUGGGGAUCGAACAGGAUUAGAUACCCUAGUAGUC